AGUAUUUGGUAUGUGCGCUCUGAAGAAGCCCAGUUACUUUUGGAAAAAGAGUUGGUAGCUCUUGAUCCGGCAAACAACCCACCGCUGGUAGCGGUGGUUUUUUUGU
rnacentral:antisense_RNA from 2 species